CAUGGAAGAAGCAGGCCAAGAUUCAAUGCCCUUUAUCAAGCCACAUGCAAGGGGCAUACGUGAAGUCUAGUAUCCUGACUUUUUUUUUUUUAAAAACAUUUACUACAAGCUACACUCUGUUGGUGGAGUCUUUAUUUUUCUCAUCCUACAAGGGAUGAAAUGCAAGAAUAAUUUAAAGUUUUAUACAAAUUUCACUUUCUCAAAUAUUGGUGUGUUACAAAUAGGAUUUAAAAUUAUCAAAAGUUACAGUGGAAAUUUUAAAUCAUGCAUUCUGGACAGUAUUAUCCUGAACCUACUAUCACACUUGCGAAUUAUUCUGACAAAAUUCUCUAUGUAAAAAAUACCUCAAAUGAUGAUCAUUUACAUAAGUAAUCUUUUAAAGCUUUUCAAACAUAUGUUAUUAAAUUAUUUCAAAAUAUAGAAACAACUCCAUAUGGCGUUUUUCACCUGAAACAAUGUAUUCUUUCCUAAGAGGGCUCCCACUAUUCCAUUUUUAGCCAUAUCUCUUUUCAACAUUAAGAUGGACACUGCCCAUUUACUGGGACUUGAGGAGAUGACCACCCAUUUUGAUCUCUGGAUAAAGAAGAGGAAGAAUAUAUUGAAUGAAAACAAAAACAAGUUCAUUCACUGAACCUGAACCUCCGUGAUUCCGCUAGAUUUAACUGGGGAGCAAAAACUAACAGAAUCCUGUGUCACUCUGAAUAGCACUCGAAUUUCAGGCAUUGGAUUCCGGGCCUUGGACACAGUAGGAAUCUGCUGUAUCAAUGAAGGAUAUGUCCAAUCAUUGACUUCUUGAGACAUAGUCUGGUUAUGUAAUUCAACCUACCCUGCAUCUCACAGUCUGCUUCCCUGUGACUUCCAUGUAAUAAGAUCACAGGUGUGCUCCUCAAAAGUGUUUUAAAAGACCCAUUUCAAACAGUUGAAAAAAGUUUUUACUGUUGUUAAGCAGAUGAAAAAAAUUGAAAUUAUAGAUCUUGUGAAAUGAUUCUCAAAUGCUUGAAAACUUGUGUUCUUAGAAAGUUUCAAGGCUCUUAAAUUCAUUUAGAAUUUGCAGAUAAAGAAAAUGCUUUAGCAAUAGUCUUUCAAAAAGAGCAUGCAUAUAUCUGUAAAAUCUCUCAAGGAAAAGAUGU